UAUGCGACAUGGAUUCGGGUUCUUAACUCUGAUAAAACUCCGGGUGGAUCCAGUGAAAUUAUUGCACCUGCUCCAGAAGGGAAUUAUGCGGGGAGAAAAAAAGAGUCAGUGUGUGAAAUUGGAUAUUUUGAAGCGGCAGAGGGGAGGAAGAAUCUCCCCAGUGCGCGCCUCUGGGUACCCUCCUACCACCGACAUCAAAAGAAGCGAGCCGGUCAGUCAGAUAUAACGCUUGAUGAACAGAACACAGACCGAAGAUGACAAGAGAGAAGUUUACAAGGAGGUUUUACACGACAUAAGAGAUUUUAUUCACCACCAGCGACAACACAGUCUCCCUCUCGUCCCAGCGUGUCCAAGCACUGACUGUCGGACCGAUGCGUUUUACGCAUAUCCUUUUCAGUCUUCAUCUCCACAGUGGAUCAGCUGUUGCUGGCCAGAGCUGAAGGUGACUUGCUGGCUGGGCCAACGGCUGCAACACAGGACAUGGGUCCUGCCUCUCCUCCCCGCUCGUGUCUUGUGUUGCAGCCAGUGGAGCUGCCUGUCUGCCCACUGAUGACGCGUGAGCUCCAGGAGUGGACGGAUCUUAUCAGCCGUGGACCUGCCGACACAGCUCCCCAUCUUACCGCUAGCUUGAGCCUAAUCACUGUCAUUCUGUGUAGUUAUCCCAUAUCUAAAUAUGUUCUCUCCCACAGUUUAAAGCAAAUAAACUACUUCAGCAGAAA